rnacentral:misc_RNA from 1 species
UCCGAGUUGUCCCCGGCAGUCCCCUUAGAGUCCCCGGCAUUACCCUCUGGCAACUAAGGGUAGGGGUUGCGCUCGUUGCGGCACUUAAGCCAACACCUCACGGCACGAGCUGACGACAGCCAUGCAGCACCUGUGCUGGUCCCAAAAGGACACGGGCUUUCACCCGCUUUAACCAGCAUGUCAAGCCCAGGUAAGGUUCUUCGCGUCGCAUCGAAUUAAGCCACAUGCUCCACCGCUUGUGCGGGCCCCCGUCAAUUCCUUUGAGUUUCAACCUUGCGGUCGUACUUCCCAGGUGGGAUACUUAAUGCUUUCGCUCAGACACCAACUGUGUAUCGCUGAUGUCGAGUAUCCAUCGUUUAGGGCGUGGACUAC